GGGAGAUUGAGUGAUUUUUCCCCAAACCACAUGAAUGAAGAAGCAUCCAUCCUGCAGUUAUUAUGGGAGGCAAGUGCAGCUUGUGCCUGCAGCUGCAAGCACCCAGCACAGUCCAGCUCCAUUAAGUCACGAAUCUGAGCUCCUGGGCAUCCACUCCAGUUAAUAAAUCUGUUGUCACCUGCUGAUGGCUGAAAGCAAGCUUAACAAAACUCUGACUGUGUUCUGAGUUGGAUAUCACAUUGUUCCAUAAGUUGUAAGUAAAGGACUCUGCCUAUUGAACGUCCUCUGUGCGGCCUGGAUUAAUCAUGGAGUCCUCCCUGUAAAAGUGAUGUACUCCUCCCAUGACUGAUGCUGUUUGCACUGACUGGGGGGUAACCCAGGAGCCACACAGUUCCCACUGACAGCUCCACACAUCAGCAUGAGCAGGAGGAAAAUCGGUCCCCUGUGUAUGCUCAAGGUGUAGGAAGAAACGUGCUUCAAAGUACUGCAUAAUGUACAAGCUGGCAAGUAUUCACGCUGGUUUGAUUUCUCUUAGUUCCCUAAGAUAUACAAAGGGUUAGAGAUACAAAAAGGAGAAAUACGCAUUACUCAAUAUGUGGAAAAUACAUAAAAAAUGACUUGGAGGCAGAUAUAUCUUCUCAGAUGGCAUUGCUUUCUUAGUGAGAUGUCUGACAUCCUGGCUGCUGCAGAGCACUGUUGCAUUGGCACGAGUGAAGCUGCCAUGAUUUACAGCAGCCAAUGAUGCGGCCUUUACUGCGGCCUCAGAUUAAUCCCCCCGGAGGAAGACAGAGAAGUUUGGAAAGCUGAGGCAGUUUGUUGUGUGUGUGUAUUGGGUGAGGAUAACUUCCAGAAACUCAGAUAAAGAAAAACACUGAAAUGAGGCAAAGAUGAGUAAUUGACGAUCGUAACUGUGAUUAUAAGGUGUAAUUACAAUUAGCUGCACAAGAGUGUUAAUCAUGGAAAUAAUUACACGUCAGCUUUUUCCAAAAGAAAAGGGAAUGUAAUUAAGUGGCCCAAAUGGGUGACAAAAACACACCAGAGGAGUGCAACGAUGGAGGGGAUGGAAUGCUCAGGGGGUGCAUCCAGAGGGUAUCCAUCAGUGCCUCCAGAGUGAGGGAAGCACGCAGUCAAUCUCCUGUCUACUAGAGACCCAAAUGGGCUGUUUGGGUUGAUUGAACCAGGUCCUUCCUUUGGUCCUUUCCCCCUCUUCCUGCAGCUACAGCUCACAGCUCCGGCCCCACUGUGGGAAUCAAACACUGCAGCCUCAGGAGUGGGUCAUUGUGCCACAGGAUAUCUGUCAGAAAAACAGCCGCCCAUUCUCUUACACACACAUUGUGAAUUACAAAAAGCUCUCUUUGGGGAGCGCGGGUGGCAGGUCCUGUAAUUUAUCUUGCAUGAAAUGAGCUUGUUUGAAUGGACUGGAAAAGCCAAGCCAUUAAUUUAGAAUAGCUUCUGGACUCUGCAGAGAUGCAAUUUCAUUCUGCAUAUCCAUUGCAGUAAAAAUUAUGGGAUUUUAAUACCGUUUCCUUUAUUUUCUUCCAUGUCGUCCUGCUGCAGGUUCAGCACUGCGGAGAGCUCCCUCAUCCCACCGCCACGUGUGCGCCAUGGAGUGAGUUUGUUCAGCGUAAAUCCUCUUCUUUAGACUCAUUAAAGUGCGCCAAGCCUCUGUAAGAGUCAUUUGACAAACUCCCCUGAGUGGCAAAGUAGUGUUUAUUACGAUUAUUAUUACUAUUAUUAUUUUUCUCUCAGCUCCAUCUGUAAUGUAAACACCAUUAUGUUUUAAUUAUCUGUUUGAAAAAGAGAUUUAAAAGCGAAUCCCGCAGGAACCCGGGCAGCAUACACAAUGGGGUCCCCCUGAGAGCCGCCCGCUGGGUGAGCACAGGAGGCAGUGAUGCUCUGAAGGGAACACAGCUCAGCAGCAUGGCCACCCACACCACCACCCCAUCCCACGGCAGUGGGUCUGAGUGCUCCAGAAGCGUGUUUUGUUCCUCUUGGUGCAUUGUCAACAUUAGGGGGAGGAAAAUGCUGGGGAAAAAACCACCUUUCUCCACCUUUCAUAACGAGAUUGCCACCCAUUUAGCAGAUCAGGGACUCCAAGGAGCAUCAUCCUGGUUGCCAUGGUGCCCAGUCUCAGCCCGGCAGUGCCCAGCGGGAGCUCUGCAGCUGCACAUCACCAGCUCUGCUGGCUCUGCUGCUCCCCUUCUCCUCCCUCCCUCCUCAGCAGCCCUGCCCUGCCACAGCAACAGGGAUCUCUGCACCAAGGACUGUGUUCCAAUGGGCAGCAUUUGGUUUGGAGGGGGACAUUCGGAUUCACCCCAGUAAAGGAAAUGGGAAGGGUAAUUCAGGAAAACAAGACGUGCAGAUGAAUUCAUGAAUUAAAGACACUGCUGAAAGGAGAGGCACGCUGAGGGAAUGAAGUCAGAUCAAAAACAAGACAGGAAUGAAUUGUUGCAAAACCUGAAAAACAUUUCUCUCGCUUCUUAAGCCUGAAGUAAACUCAGCUCGGCGACCCCUUUUUCACACCCUUGCAUCAGGACGAACCCAUUUGCCAGUCCUCCUCCGCAAUGCAAUCACGCCGCUGUUUAAUGUUCUGCAUUUUCCAUUAUCGCUAAUCUGAGCUGAAGGGCAGAGCUCAGGCUGCUCCCAGCCCCUUACCAGCAGCGCUCUGCCUGCGCAAGAGGGAACAGUGCCUGCACAACCCUCACCCUGCCCUCCUCUAAUGCUGAUUGCAGUGCUCAGCAGUGCACGACCGUCUUCAGGACUGCAAAACUCUCCUUCCUGCACUGCAGAGACCUCAGAACUCCCCCAGGAGAUGUGCUGUAACAUCAUGGGACGGCCUCAAAACCAAAGGGCUCCUGAAUAUCCUGCACUGAGGUCCUCCUGCGCUCUGCAAACCCAGAGUUCCUGUGGGAGGAAUGAGGCUGAGAAGACAUGAGAUGAGAAUAUUAACACCCCAGGGUUACCAGAUACAAAAAAAAAUUGAUUUUUAAUAACUCUAACCAUCUCUUCAGCUUUCAUUAGUCCCUUCUUUGGCUUUAUGGUGCUGGGCAUGAAGAAUAUGAGGAUUUGAAGAAUUAACUGAGUUAAUGAGGGCUGAUUAUUAAUGUUCAGAGCUCAAUAAAAAAAGGGAGAGAAAUAAAACACAAAAAAUGAGCUGAAAAUAAGGGUGAUCUUUCAUUCCCCCAAAAUGAGAUACACUGAAUUAUUGUUAUAUUUAAGGCACCAAAGGAAUGGAAAUAAAUACCACCCAUUAGCUAUUGAAGAACCUGUGAAACUCAGUGCAAGCAGAUGUCCGAGUCAGAGGAAGAGGGUGCUAAUUAGGAAGCAGCACUGAGGACUGCUGCUGAGGCUUCAGGCCGCCCCUUUGGGGACAGCACGUAGAGCCCUGAGCACUGCAAGCAGCUCAUCAGAGCAGGAGAACCCGCUCUGUAUUUGGAAACCACUUGGAACUCAGCUCAGCUCUAGUGGCUCUAGUGUUUGCUCCAGCAGAAGACCCAUUCCUGGGCACCUUCGAAUACCUGGCCAUGAAUUCCCCUUCUCUAAUGAGUGCUGUGCAGCAGAACCAUUGGUUCUCCCAUGUGUUCAGGUUGCAGAGUCUUCAGGGGAGGAAUUGCCUGUGGAAGUCUGAACUCAGUCCAGUUACAACAACAGCACAGACCUCACAAACAGAAAUCCACACCUUCCUCCAUCCCAGUGCCCUCACCAGCCUCACCCUCACCAGAAAAGGAAAGCACUUCACUUAUCUGCAUAGAAAGAACCACAGAAUUGACUGUCAUUGCACCUUCGCCAUGGGUGGGAUCGUCCAGGAUUGUCAGGGCUAAUGGUAAUUGAUGUUUCCUUUCACACCUGCUCUCUUUCCUGCUUUAUUAAGCCUCUGCAAACACCGCUGUCUCUGGGGAAGCAGUGGGAGUGGAGGAGGAAACCUAUGGAAGAGAACAAUUCCAGUUGUUCAGCGCAGCACUUUGCUAAAUUGCAUCCAGCCUCUUUUGCAGAGUAAUAAAGUGUUGUCUGAAAGGAGGCAUGGAGUUUUAAUUUUCUCAUUGUCAGUGGAUGCUG
ensembl:lncRNA